UUUCCGGUUGAUCCUGCCGCCGGCCACCGCUAUCAAGUUCCGACUAAGCCAUGCGAGUCAAGGUAUCGUAAGAUGCCGGCAAACUGCUCAGUAACACGUGGAUAAUCUAACCUUGAGUAAGGGAUAACCUCGGGAAACUGAGGAUAAUACCUUAUAAUUGCUUAAAACUGGAAUGUUUAAGCAAUAAAAGUUCCGACGCUCAAGGAUGAGUCUGCGACCUAUCAGGUAGUAGGUGGUGUAAUGGACCACCUAGCCUCAGACGGGUACGGGCCCUGGGAGGGGUAGCCCGGAGAUGGACUCUGAGACAUCAGUCCAGGCCCUACGGGGCGCAGCAGGCGCGAACACUGUGCAAUGCGCGAAAGCGCGACACGGGGAGCUUGAGUGUCUUGGCAUAGCCAAGACUUUUCUCAUUCCUAAAAAGCAUGAGGAAUAAGUGCUGGGUAAGACGGGUGCCAGCCGCCGCGGUAACACCCGCAGCACAAGUGGUGGUCACUUUUAUUGAGCCUAAAGCGUUCGUAGCCGGUUUUGUAAAUCUUUAGAUAAAGCCUGAAGCUUAACUCCAGAAAGUCUGAAGAGACUGCAAGACUUGAGAUCGGGUGAGGUUAAACGUACUUUCAGGGUAGGGGUAAAAUCCUGUAAUCCCGGAAGGACGACCAGUGGCGAAAGCGUUUAACUAGAACGAAUCUGACGGUAAGGAACGAAGGCUAGGGUAGCAAACCGGAUUAGAUACCCGGGUAGUCCUAGCUGUAAACACUGCCCAUUUGAUGUUGCUUUUCCGUUGAGGGAAGGCAGUGUCGGAGCGAAGGUGUUAAAUGGGCCGCUUGGGAAGUAUGGUCGCAAGACUGAAACUUAAAGGAAUUGGCGGGGGAGCACCGCAACGGGAGGAAUGUGCGGUUUAAUUGGAUUCACCGCCGGG
rnacentral:rRNA from 1 species